CCUAGGUCUCCGCUCGCCAGGCGCGCAGAUCGAUCCCUGAGGGGCCGCUCACGCCUCCGCCCUGCCCAGGCAGCACUAGCUGCACCCCGAGCGGCAGGCCUCACCCAGUCCCUCCCCGGUCCCGCCCCGAGAGCAAAGGGCGCUGCCCAAAGCCGGACAGGUCUAGCGGCUGGCCUGUGUGAAGUCGCGCGGCUCCCUCCCACGCAGUGUUGUGAGUGAACCCCGGAAAGUUGAUCGCCAUGUCGACUGCAGAGGCGGGGGGUGUUUUCCAUAAAGCCCGGAACAGGACCCUGGACGCGUUUCCCGCAGAAAAGGAAGGGGAAUGGAAAGGCCCAUUCUACUUCAUCCUGGGCACAGACCCACAGUUUGGGUUGAUGAAGGCCUGGUCCACUGGGGACUGUGACAAUGGUGGUGACGAAUGGGGACAGGAGAUCCGUCUAACUGAGCAAGCUGUCCAGGCCAUCAACAAGCUGAACCCCAAACCCAAAUUCUUUGUUCUGUGCGGCGACCUCAUCCACGCCAUGCCCGGGAAGCCGUGGCGGAAGGAGCAGACAGAGGACCUGCAGCGAGUGCUCAAGACCGUGGACAGGGCCAUCCCACUGGUCCUUGUCAGCGGCAACCACGACAUUGGCAAUGUCCCCACAUCCGAGACCAUUGAGGAGUUCUGCCAGACUUGGGGAGAUGACUACUUUAGCUUCUGGGUCGGAGGUGUGCUGUUCCUGGUCCUCAACUCCCAGUUCUACGAGAACCCCUCCAAAUGUCCUGGCCUGAAGCAGGCACAGGACCAGUGGCUGGAUGAGCAGCUGAACAUCGCGAGGCAGCGGAACUGCCAGCACGCCAUCGUCUUCCAGCACAUCCCACUGUUCCUGAAAAGCAUCGAUGAGGAUGACGACGACUACUUCAACCUCAGCAAGCCCGCUCGGAAGAGGUUGGCAGACAAGUUCAUCCACGCAGGUGUCAAAGCCGUGUUCUCAGGCCACUACCACAGGAAUGCUGGGGGCACCUACCAGAACCUCGACAUGGUGGUGUCAUCCGCCAUCGGAUGCCAGCUGGGCCUAGACCCCCACGGGCUCCGAGUUGUGGUGGUCACUGCUGACAAAAUUGUUCACCGAUACUACAGUCUGGAUGAGCUGAGUGAGAAAGGAAUAGAAGACGAUCUCAUGGAUUUGAUAAAGAAAAAAUGACGGUCUUUCCUGUUCCGUUCACUUUUUACUUGCACUCUUUUUUUAUUUUCUGCCAGAAACAGCAGCUGCACACAACCCCUUGCUGAAAUACAAAAAUAGCCCAGGCAGGGUCCCGCAAUAUUAUGUUGAGCUGGGAAAAAGAGAAGAUUUAGGAGUAAAUUGCCAAGGCAAGUUCAAUUAAAAGCUUUCUGUAAUAGACACCAGGGAUUUUUUAUUCAGAUAACCUCAACAGUUUUGAUUGCACAUGUAACAUAGUAUUCAACAGGUAAUACUGAUUUUUAUAACUUCAUAGAAUACUCUCAAGCUAUGGGAGAGCUCUUAUGUAUUUUUUAAUGAGUGUGUGUGUGUGUGUGUGUGUGUGUAUAUAUACACACACAGUAAAAGUGGAAAAUUCUUUUCUUAGAAUAAUGAUUUCAGCGUUUAUCUAGAAAAGAUUUUGCUGACUAUAUUUUCUUUUUCCAUCAAUGGAUUCUUAAACAUCAGUGCAUGUUUAAGAAUUUUUCCUUUAUGUUUUAUCUAUGUAAAUGAAGUUGACUAAAUGUGAAUAAUCAUGUUACCCUUCAUUAUUAUGACUGUUACAUUUAAGAAGUAGAUGUCUUCAUUAGAGGGGUUUGCAGCACACUUAAUGAAUGACCUCUGUGCCUGUCUAGAAACUGGUUUCUUGUUAUCAUUUUGACAUCCGCUAAAACAUCACUGCUGAAAGUGGCCUUCCUGCCUGAUGUGUCCCCACCCAAAUCUUAUCUUGAAUUGCAAUCCCCAAAAUCCCCACGUCAAGGGACAGACCUGGUGGGAGGUAGUUGGAUCAUGGAGGCGGUUUCUCCCAUGCUAUUCUUGUGAUAGUGAGUUCUCACAAAAUCUGACGGUUUCGUGUUGGACAGUUCCUCCUUCACACUCUGUCUCCUGUUGCCAUGUAAGACAUGCCUGCUUCUGCUUCCACCAUGAUUGUAAGUUUCCUGAGGUCUCCCCAGCCAUGUGGAACUGUGAGUCAAUUAAAUAUCUGUCUCUCUCUCUCUCUCUCUCUCUAAUAAAUUACCCAGUCUCAGGCAGUUAUUUAUAGCAGUGUGAAAGGGGACUAAUACACUGCUCCACCCUGUCUAAGGUUACACUCCUGGUCCUAGCAUUGCAUCCUCAUUCUUUUGCUUGUUUUCUUCAGAGAAAUGUCCUUGCUUAAUUAUCUUUAAGUGUAACCACACACAAACACACACACACACACACACACACACACCAGAAUGCAAGCUCCAGACAGCAGGAACUAUGUGUCUUACAUUUGCCACUUUAUCCCCAGCAUCUGGAACUGUGCCUAAUGGCAGAGAGUUGCUGCUCAAAGAAUACUCAGCAAUGGAUGGUGAGUAAAGCUGUAUAGUUGGCCAGCCGCGGUGGCUCAUGCCUGUAAUCCCAGCACUAUGGGAGGCUGAGGCAGGUGUAUCAUGAGGUUGGGAGUUCAAGACCAGCCUGGCCAAGAUGCUGAAACCCCAUCUCUACCAAAAAUACAAAAAUUAGCUGGGCAUGGUGGCAGGCGCCUGUGAUCGCAGCCGCUUGGGAGGCUGAGGCAGGGAAUUGCUUGAACCCGGGAGGUGGAGGUUGUGGGGAGCCGAGGUCACACCGUUGCACUCCAGGCUGGGCAACAGAGUGAGACUCCAUCUCAAAAAAAAAAUGCUAUAUAGCUAUGGUGAACAUCAGUAAUCUAUACCGAUUGUCACUAUGAACUCCUAACUGGUAGGGGAGGAAGAAAGGGAAGGAGGUGAUAUUCCUAAGCCUGGUAAUAGUCCUUGUGGGAUUGUCCUCAAAGUGAAGUAUUGUCAGAAGCUCCAUCACUAACUAGCAGCAUCAUUGCCGUCUUCAGUUCUGUGCUCUCAAUGAAGAAAUUGGAGGUGAUAACAAAAAAUGUCCUCCACUUAUUAGUAGUAAUUAUUACUUAGUAGUAAUUCUAAGCCUGGUUCACUCAACAAAUACUGUGCAGUAACCAAAGCUAGUGAGCCAGACAAGAGAGUGACUCUAGACUGAAGGUUCUAUGUGAAUAUAAAAGAGAUGGCUUGAAAUACAAGCAUGAAACUCAGGAAACAAUGAAAACUGCAUUGUGGGAGUGCAUGGGACAUGGGAAUGAAUAAGAUUCCUAGGAAAAUCCAGCAGCACUGCGAGAUGCCUAAGGAGAGAACCUUGAAACAGAUGUUUAGGCAAAAGACAAGAAAGAUGGAAGUCACAGAGGAGUAAAGGGGAAUCUGAAAACUCCAGGCUGUGCACCCUGAACAAAAAUGGAAUUGGCUUCAUCUGGAGUUCAGUGGUUUAAGCCCCCACCGACCAAACUUCCUGCAGAUAACUUUAUAGACAAAAAUACCUACCUGGCAAUAUGGAGAGUGAACACGUGCAAGGAACUCAAAACCUUGGUGAGUCUCCUGUCCCCUGCACGUUGUUCUGAGGGCAAACCACAAUUGCAAAGCAGCACACCUGAGGUCAAUAAAGUUUUUCUCAAAAUUCACUUUUUUUUUGACAUGGGAUCUCCCUGUGUUGCUCAGGCUGGAGUGCAAUGGUGCAAUCUCAGCAUGUGGCAAUCUCCACCUCCCAGGUCUAAGCAAUCCUCCUGCCUCAACCUCCCAAGUAUCUGGAAGAAAAGGCAGGCACCACCACAUGCAGCUAAUUUUUUGUAUUUUUGGUAGAUGGAGUUUCACCAUGUUGCUCAGGCUGGCCUCAAACUACUGGGCUCAUGUGACUCACCUUCCUUGACCUCCCAAAGUGCUGGGGUUACAGGUGUGAACCACCAGGUCUGGCCCAAAAUUUACUAUGUAUUAGAACAGAGAUACCAGAGGAAGAAGCCCAGGUCACUGGGGAGUGAGGAGUUCCAGCAGGGAGACAGCUGGGGAGAAGAAUCCUCUAAUUUGUAUGUGAGCUCCACAUGAAUCUCUUGCUUACCCACAAAGCAUGCAUGAGCAUGACAGAAUUGGCAGCACAAGCUUAAAGAAUUAAACCAAGAUUUGACUCACUGCCCAGAGGAAGCAACAGAGAGCUUACCAUUGGAGUCUGAUCAAGCUAAUUACCUGCAAAAGCCUCAACAUUCUUCAGAAGAAUAUAACUGAAUCCCAGCUCUCCACAGUGUAUUAUUUACCUAGCCCAGGAUACAACCCAAAAUUGCUUAACAUACAACAAAAGCAACAACAACAAUAAAAAGAAAGUACCUCACUCUCCAAGGAAAAGACAGUCCACCUUAAGAGGCCCCAGGUGUUAGAAUUAUCACUCCAGGGGAAAGAGCAGCUACUAUAACAAAGCUUUAUAAAGUAAAGGAAAAUAUACCUAAUAUGAACAAAAAGAAAGGAUAUCUCCUAGAACAUAGAAAAAAUGAAAAUUUCAGAACUGAAAAAUAUAAUAUCUAAAAUUUUGAACUUACUGGACAGGCUUAAUAGCAGAGUGGAGAAGAGGGAGGAAAGUCAGGGAACAGGAAGACAGAUCAAUAGAAAGUUUUCACCCUAAAACCCAAAGACAAAAAGGAUUUUAUUAAGCAAACUUCACGACCCUGUAUCAAAAGUCUAAAGUACAGUGAUGAGUACCAGAAAGGAAACAGCAUGAGCCACAAAAAAAUAUUUGGAGAAAUGAUAGCCAACAACUCGUAUUUGGUGAAAUAAAACAAAUGGAAAUUUCAUAUGCUCAACAAACACAAAAUAUGAGUCACAAGGCAAAAUAUUACUAGAUUGGACUUUAUAAAGAAUUUGCUCUUCAGUGAUAUUAGAGAGUGGGAGGCAAGCCUGGAAGAAUAAAUUCCAGCACAUUUAUCAGAUAAAGGGCUUGUAUCCAAAAUAUGUAAAGAACUGCAGCCUGGGCAACAUAGCCAUAUCUAGAACCCCUACCUCAAGUGAUCCGCCCACCUUGGCUUCCCAAAGUGCUGGGAUUACAGGCAUGAGCCACCGCACCCAGCCAAGCCCUUCUUUCUAGAGACCAGAAUGGAGGGAAUGGAAAGGGUGAUGAGGCUAGGGCAGUGGGUGGAGACCUGGGAUAAUGUAAUUGAUCAAUUAUUUCCUAGACACAUGUUCAUUUCCUGCUGAUUCCUCCCUGAGAGGCACUCUGUGCUGUGUUUCAUGGUGAAGCAGGUGAGGCUUUCUGGAUUUAUGCACAGCUCACCUUGGUCUUGUCAGGAAAGGGCCAGCAUCUGUAUAGAACGGGUGACAUCUGCCUAUCAUGGAAUCCCUGCUUCUGAGCAGACUGUCUGGGUGUGUUCUAGGCAGUGAAGGAGAGCAGAUUCAGGAUGUAGCCUAUUACUGUGAUGUGUGAAAGUCUCUCCUUGGUCUUCCAAGCUGUCCUUUCAGGCUUCCACAAAAACAGCUAAUAAUUUCAUCUCAUAAUAUUUUUGAAAUACUCUUUGGAUUUGCUCUCUUAAAAAGCCACCAAGGAGGCUGGGUACAGUGGCUCAUGCCUGUAAUCUCAGCACUUUGGGAGGCUGAGGUGGGUGGAUCACCUGAGGUCAGGAGUUCGAGACCAGCAUGGCCAACAUGGUGAAACCCCAUCUCUACCAAAAUAAAAAAAUUAGCCAGGCAUGGUGGCACACGCCUGUAGUCCCAGCUACUCCAGAAGUGGAGGCAGGAGAAUCGCUUGAACCUAGGAGGUAUAGGUUGCAGUGAGCUGAGAUCGCAACACAGCACUCCAGCCUGGAGGACAGAGUGAGUGAGACUCCAUCUCAAAAAUAAAUAAAUAAAUAAUAAGUAAUAAAAAGCUGCCAAGGCAGGUUUUUGGCUCAGUGGUGCAGUAGUUCAUGCCUGUAAUCGUAGCACUGUUGGUAUUCUGAGACGGGAGGAUUGCUUGAGUCCAGGAGUGCAAGACAAGCCUAGGCAACACAGUGAGAUCACCCCUCCCAUCUCUACAAAUAUAAAACAUUAGCUGGGCAUGGUGGCACACAUCUGUAGUCCUAGGUACUUGGGAGGCUGAUGUAGGAGGAUCACUUGAGCCCAGGAGGUUAGGGCUGCAGUGAGCUGUGUUCAUGCCAUUUCACACCAGCCUGGGUAACAGACCAAGACCCUGUCUCUGAAAAAAAAGAAAAGAAAAAAGGCUACCAAACUGCAAUAUCACACCCUGAAACCACCUAUCUUGGUGUGAAAAGCUAUUAAAAUGACAUGGUAUUGUAUUUACCGUAUAGGUCCCUGUUUUCCUGUUCUCUUAUGUCGUGGGAUGAGAUCCAACAUGAUACCCUGAGGGCAGGAACACCGUCUUCAUGGCUGCUGGGCCUUCAUUGCCUGGCCUGGGACUUGGCCCUCCUUAUAAAUGUGUGUUGCUUCAUUGUGGCUUCCUCUGUGCUGUGUUUCAUUGUGAAGCAGGUGAGGCUUUCUGGAUUUAAGGCUUUUCUGCUCAGCAGCCCUCCCAACACCAUCAACCUUCCCUCCAAUUAUUUGUCCAUUCCAAAGACAUUUGCCGAGGAAGUACUGUACGCACCCUGUGCCUGGCCCUGGUGAACAGAGAGCAGCCUUAGUCUCCAGCAAGACGACUUAAACACUGCUGUUUCCUGUGUCCCGGGCAAACUUCUCUGCUCCCUGACGUUCCUGGGAAACCUGACCAACACCAAUCACAUUCAUUUCUAUGUAUGUGAUGACAUUUCCCACAUAGAAUGAUUUUAAGACAAGAUGGGAACUUCUGUGCGGGCUGGACAGCAUGACAGUGUCCCCAGAACAACUCAUACAUACCAUUUCCAAACUUUAAUUCAUCUCCCUUCUCCCUUCCAAAAGCACUUUCUCUUGUUUUUUGUUUUUUGUUGUUGUUGUUGUUGUUUUUCAAUUUUUUUCUUUUCUUUCCUUUUAUCGAGACAGGGUUUACCUCUGUCACCCAGGCUGUAAUUCAGUGGCACGAUCUCAGCUCACUGCAACCUCUGCCUCCCAGGUUCAAGCCAUCCUCCCGCCCCAGCCUCCCCAAGUAGCUGGGACUACAGGCACCAACCACCAUGCCUAGCUAAUUUUUGUGGGGUUUUUUUUUAGUAGAGACAGGGUUUUGCCAUGUUUCCCAGGCUGGUCUUGAACUCUUAACCUGGUGAUCCACCCACCUCAGCCUCCCAGAGUGCUGGCAUUACAGUCAUGAGCCACUGUGCCUGUCUUGUAUUUCCCUGUCUUGACAAGUAGCAGUAGACCCUACCUAUGUGCCUUAAAGCAGAAACUCAGGUUCCGCCUCUUUCCUGUGCUCCAAUGUCUCACAACUUUCAGUUGCUACGGCUUCAGGACUCUCCUUGGAGAGGCCGCCUCCUCAGGGCCUCCUUGCCUUAGGCGUUUCCUGGUGAUGUUCCUUAGUUAGAACAGCCCCCACAGGCUGGGUCCGGUGGCUCAUGCCUGUAAUCCUAGCACUUAGGGAGGCUGAGGAGGCAGAUCACUAGGUCAGGAGUUCGAGCCCAGCCUGACCAACAUGGUAAAACCCCAUCUCUAUUAAAAAUACAAACAAAAAAAAAUUAGCUGGGUGUGGUGGUGUGCGCCUGUAAUGCCAGCUAUUUGGGAGGCUGAGGCAUGAGAAUCACUUGAACCCAGGAGGCAGAGUUUGCAGCGAGCCAAGAUUGUGCCACUGCACUCCAGCCUGGCAACAGAGCAAGACUCCGUCUCAAAAACAAACAAACAAACAAAUAAAAAAAGAACAACCCCCAUCCCACCACUCUCCCCAAACUUCUUUCAGGGCCCAGCGCCAGUCUCCCCUGCUCCCUGACUCCCCCGGCCAUACCUGAGUACCUCCCCAAGCACUGCCAGGAGGGCAGCACAGUACAGAAGUUUCUAGUCCACUCCUCUACGAGCUGCGUUUAUAGUGAGCACACAAGACACAAAACGUCACCUCCAGGGCAGGGUGUGUCUCCUCAAUUCCAAGAUGUACAUUGUUUUUCACGUUUUACUGUUUCUGAAAUCAAAACUCAGGCUCACCAUCAGUGGCCUCCUUAACACUGAGAAAAUGCUAGAAAGAUAGAUACACUUCAAAAUGGGUAGGGCAUGGUGGCUCAUGCCUGUAAUCUCAGCACUUUGGGAGGCCAAGGCAGGUGGAUCACUUGAGGUCAGAAUUUCAAGACCAGACUAGCCAACAUGGUGAAGCCCCAUCUCCACUAAAAAGUGAAAAAGAGGUCGGGCACAGUGGCUCACGCCUGUAAUCUCAACACUUUGGGAGGCCAAGGUGGGUGGAUCAGAAGGUCAAGAGAUCAAGACCAUCCUGGCCAACAUGGUGAAACCCAUCUCUACUAAAAAUACAAAAAUCAGCUGGGUGUGGUGGCAUGCACCUGUAGUCCCAGCCACUUGGGAGGCUGAGGCAGAAGAAUUGCUUGAACCCAAGAGGCAGAGGCUGCAGUGAGCCACCACUGCACUCCAGCCUGGUGACAGUGCAAGAUUCUGUCUCAAAAAAAAAAAAAAAAAAAAAACAGCCAGGCAAAGUGGUGGUGCAUGCCUGUAGUCCCAACUUCUCAGGAGGCUGAGGCAAGAGAAUCACUUGAACCCAGCUCAUGCCUGUAAUUUCAGCACUUUGGCAGGCAGAGGCAGGUGGAUAUCACCUGAAGUCAGGAGCUCGAGACCAACCUGGCCAACAUGGUGAAACCCUAUCUCUACUAAAAAUACAAAAAUUAGUCGGCAUUACCUGUCUUGCAUGUUCACUACAUGCACAGCUCUUAGAGGAGUGGACUAGAAACUUCUGCACUGCCUGGCAGUGCUUGGGGAGACGCUCAGGUAUGGCUGGGGGAGUCAAGAAGUGGGUGAAAGGUUGAGGAGGCAGAGGUUGCAGUGAGCUGAGAUCAUGUCAUUGCACUCCAGCCUGGGCAACAGAGAGACUGUCUCAAAAAAAAAGAGAGAAAAGAAAGAUAAAAAAUGAAAGGAAGGAGAAAAGGGAGGGAGAAGUUAAAGGGAUGAAGUUGGCCCACCUGGUUCCAGUGCUGGCUCUGCCACUCAAUAACUGUGGCCUUGGGCAGGUAGUGUCCUGUUUCUGGGACUCAGUUUCUUUAUCUAUAAAAUGGGGACAAUAUAGUACCUUCCCCUUAAGAUUAACAUGAGCCUACUUGACACCCUAGCACUGAUACGUGAACAAUCUUGGCAGACUAUAACCAAAUGCUUCUGCACUAUGCAUUGUGUCUGUGCAGAGUAUUUGUAUAAUAGAUAAUCAUGGCAUUUUUCACCUUCAAACAUCACAUGUUGUUUCUGAACCCUCAUCUUCCAGCACAGAGCCCAGCCAUGCAUCCAGCUGAGCCUCCCAGACUGGGCUUCUUAAAACUAGAUUAGGGCUGGGUGUGGUGGAUCAAGCCUGUAAUUCCAGCACUUUGGCAGGCAGAGGCAGGUGGAUAUCACCUGAGGUCAGGAGUUUGAGACCAACUUGGCCAACACGGUGAAACCCCAUCUCUACUAAAAGUACAAAAAUUAGUCAGGAUUGCAUGCCUGUAAUCCUUGCUUCUUGGGAAGCUAAGGCAGGAGAAUUGCUUGAACCUGGGAGGCAGAGGUUGCAGUGAGCCGAGAUUGCCCCAUUGCACUCCAGCCUGGGCGACAGAGAGACACUGUCUCCCGUUAACUGCAAAAAAAGAAAGUAAAUUAUGUUCAUCCUCAAGUCAUGUCUCCACUGACAAAUAGAACCAAGUUUAUUUAUUUCAUUAUUCAAUUUAGUUAAGUGUUUUUUUUCCUCUCCAAGGAAUUCUAGCAAUAAAGUCACACAUUACCCAAAAGAUCUCUGGCAGAGGGAUUUCUGGGUCAAGGUAACUCACCUACAGAGAGUCUGGAGCUCCUAGCCUGGAUGAAAGGAAAGUUCGUUAGCUUUAUUUACUUCUUCCGACAUAAUUGGUCAGCAGAGUAUAAAUGCUGAUGUCAUGUCUAAUUAGCGGUGGCCUCUGCCCUUCUGGUCACAGCACCGCGUCUGGCAUGUUGGUGUGGAUGGAGCAGUUUCACAGGGAGUAUCUUUAUGAACUAGCUCUCCCAUGGAGCUGCUCUAAUUAUCAUUUAAGAAAACAAGCUUUUUGAUGUUGUAUAGACAGUUCAGCAACAUCUCCCCAACAGGGCUGAUAAUUGUAACAGCCUUUCAGUCCAUGAUGGGCUUUUCCACAAGUGAUCACAUCAGAUCAUGGGGAACUAGAAACUGGGACCUCAUCUCUGCUCAUCUCAGUCCUGGACACCUUGCCCAUCUCGGCUCGUCAAAUACCUUCAAGGGCUCUAAAGCUAAUCGUUUGUAUUGGCACAGAUUUUGCCUGGUGUCCAAAAUCCAGAUUUAAAAACCAGUGGCAAUCAUUGUGCUCCUGGGUACCAUUUAUUGUCAUGAAAUCAAACACAGCAUAAAGGAAAACUGUUCAAUAUCUAAAAGAUUAGCGUGGAUACAAAUAUUUGUGGAUACUAGUACAUUUUAUAACACUGUUUGUUUAAAAACAAAAACAAGUAGGGGAAUAAUUUGAAUUCCUCAGUCGCAGGAUUCCACUGAGUUUUUGAGAGGUGAAGAUUUUUCACAAAGUGAGUUACAGACUGAGAGUAUCAAUCUGACAACACUUUGUUCUUGGCUCACACCAUUCAGUUUCAUAAAAUCAGUAAGAUAAAAGCCACGCACCACUGGGGGAGAGAGGAGGUGAGCUCCACCUUCUGUUUCCCUCUCUGUCUGUCUCACACACACUCCAACACCAGUGACCUCUGCUUUUCCAUCCAAACACAGGACCAAUUACCAGACUCCAGGUUGCUUCCAGGAUUUUUUACGGGACCCUGGAAUUUAGUGUAGUUAUUUGUGUAGUUGUGAUCCCCUCCGAGAUUGUGAAAUCCUUGAGGGAAAGAGUUAGUGCCUAAUAAAUUUAGGCACUAAUUUUAUUCUACCCUGAAAUUCUACCAUGUCACUCACCCAUAUCAUCCUCUCCAUGCAGACUCUAGCUCAAUCCCUCAAUCCAGUCUUCUGUUCUGUUGUUGUUUUUUUUUUAUUGUUUUGUUUUUUGAGACAGAGUCUCACUGUCACCCAGGCUGGAGUUCAGUGGUGUAGUCUCAGCUCACUGCAACCUCCACCUCCCAGGCUCAAGUGAUUCCAGAGGCCCACUUACACUCUUCGAUGCACAAUACUGGUGGUUUCAUGCUUUCCCUGAGGCCCAUCCAUGGGCCCCGGAACUUUCCAACCCCUUUGCUUAUGAAUGAAUUGCCUCUACCCCAUCACACGCCUCUGCAUUCCAAAUAUCUCCACCUUUGCCUGAGCUGCUCCCUAAAAUACCUUUCCACUUUCUAUCCAUCAAAUCCCACUAGGAUGUAAAUUCCUUGAGGACAGGGCUCUGACUCAUUCACUGUUCUAUCUCCUCCGCUUCAGCCUGCACCUGCCCCUAGUAGAUGCCCAAAGGUGUUUGUUGAUAGACAAAUUCAAAAAAAUAUAUUUAUUCAGUGCUUACCAUACUCUAGAUAUUGGAGAUACAGUGGUGAGCUCCAGUAGUCAUGAUUUCUAUUCUCGUGGAACUACCAGUUUGAAGGACGUCUUCAUUAUUUAUUGCCAUGUAACACAAUACUCCAAAAUUCACCAGUUUAAAGCAAUAAACAUUCAUUGUCUGACAUAUCUCCUAAAGGUUGGGAAUCCAGGAACGGCUUAGCUGAGUGGUUCUGGCUCAGGGUCUCCCACAAGGUUGCAGUCAAGCUGGUGGCUGCAUCCUCUGGAAGCUUGAGUGAGGCCGCAGCAUCCGCCUCAAAGCUCACUCACAUGGCUCUUGGCUGGCUGCAGUUCCUUACUGGCCAUAGGUCUUUGUUUCUUGCCACGUGCCUCUCCAAAGGCUGCCGUGAAUGUCUUCAUGACCCCAUGACAUGGGAGUUGGCUUCCCCCAAAGUUAGUGAUCCAGGGGAGAGAGAAUCUUCAAGAUGGAAGUCAUGUUUUAAGACCUAAUCUUGAAAGUGACAUACCAUCACCUCUGCCAUAUGCAAUUGGUCACAGAACCAAGCCUGGUACAGUGUGGGAAGGGAUCUCACCUUACAGGGUGUAACAGCAGGAGGUGGAGAACAUUGGGUGCCAUCUUGGAGGCUGUUCCCACAGUGGGGGAGAAAGACAGUAAUCAAACAUCACAUAAUGCACAUGUAAUUGCAAACGGAGCUAUGUGCUCUCAAAAUACAGCCCAUGGUCCUGUGAGGGCGUAUAACUAGGGGUCCAACUUAGACAUAGGUGGAAACCACAGAUGAAACUUGGCCAUGGCCUCUAAGGGAUGUGUUGAUAAGAGAUGAGGAAAGGAAAAAGGGCAUUCUAGUCCAUUGGCUCACAAGCUUGGUUGCUCAUUGGAGUCAUCUGGCAAGAUUUUUAAAAUACCGUUGCCCAGACUACCCCUCCAAAGACUCUGAUCUAAAUGUUCUGGGGUAAAGCCUGGACAUUAGGAUGCUUUUAAGCUCCCAAGGUGAUUUCAAUGUGCAACCAUGUUAGAGAACAACUGUUGUAGGAUAGGGAACCACUCGUUGCAAAUGUCUGUUACCAGAGGGAGACUGACAUGCUUGAGGAGCUGAGGGUCAGGAGGGCUGGAGGGUAGAGAGUGCAGGAGAGCAACGUGGAGUGGGGGCGAAAGGUGGGCAGAUGCUGGAUCUGUUGAUGUACCCCAGAGAACACCUUAGGGAGGCUGGGCUUGGAGGGUAUGAGGAGAGUGAGGCAGUGACAAGAUCCAACUGGCAUUUCCAAAAGAUGCCUCUGGCUCAGAUUCAAGAACAGAUUGAAGGGGAGCCCUAGGGUGGGGGUACCAUUCUGGAAUGAUAGAACUUUGGUUCCAACUGUGAUAGGCAGUGAGGACUUGGACUAAGGCAGUGACAGCAGGUGACAGCAAUAUGUUGGGCAGAGUCAAGAGUUUUGUUACUAAUUCCUAUGAUCCACUUCAAAACUUUGAUUUGACAAAUGGGAAACUGAGGUCAGAGAGAUGACAGGGCUCAUCCAAGGUCAUUCCACAAUAGGAUAAAGCAGAAGGAAAGAGAAACCAGCUUGGCCCUGACAACCUGUGGUUUUAAAUGAUAAACAAAACCAGAGGAGAAGAGAAAAGGAAAUGAGGAUGAGAGCAUCAGGCGAAGAUAAAAGAAGACACAUCUAACACCCACACACACACGCUUGCAUGCUCACAAAUGACAAGACCAAAAGGUCACUGGCAAGUUGAAAAAUAGAUGGUGUAAUUAUAAAGCUGUCUGAAAUGCCAGCCAGGGUCAUCCCUGUGACCUGUCCUUCCGCGCCUGGCAGGGACACUGGGGGAGGGCUGGGGAAAGCUGCCAGCCCUCUUGACAUUCAGCUUCUGUGGCGUGGAGUGGAGGGAGUGUUUCAAGCCAUGCCUUGCCUCUGUUCUCCAUGGCGGAAUUUGUGACUUCCUCAUCAAGACAGCCCAGGCCCCUUGACAGCCUGUCCCAACUCUGUGGUCACAUGGGAAAAGGUUAUUUCCAGCACCCUACUUUUAGCCACACAUUAAACAGUUGGGGUCCUUCCUUUUCCAUUGGUAAUGAUCCCCUGCCUCUAAAGAGGUGACUUCUUGGUGUCUUUCUUGAGAAAAGGAGAUGGUGACUCACAUCGUACCAGCCUGAAAUAAUUAGUUUCAGGCAAGUGCAUGUAGAUAUGGGUAAAUACUUUAAAGUGAAGCCCUCUAAUCAAUAGUCUCUAUGUUUAUCAGGAAAUGAGCAGAUGGUGUGAGGUUUCCUAAAAAACACAGAGACAAGAAACAAAUAAUUCCACGACAUCCUGGGUUAGACAGAUCAUUAAUUGGGUACUAAAUUUUACUGAAGGUUUAGGGAAGAAUAUAUCAUUCUGAAAUGUUAGGGCUAGAAGGACCCUCUAAGAAAAUGUAGUCUAUGGAUGGCCAAUAAAUGGCACACGUUUCCCUGCAUACCCACACCAGACAUUAAUAAUCCAUCACAGCACUACUGACCUCUGAGUACUCCUGAAGACAGUAUUCCAGGUAUGUAUUAUCAAUCAUGGUUGUCACCCAAGACCUGCAUUAUCUUUAUAUAGUAAAAUUAAAAUUUUAAAUUCUGUGCCUCUGUUACACUAGCCACCUUUCAAGGGCUCAAUAGCCACAUGUGGCUAUUGGACAGCACAGAAUAGAACAUUUGAAUCACUGCGUAAAGUCCAACUGGACAGCCGUAGAAUCAUAUUUCCCAAAUGGCAGUCAUUUAUAUAUCAUCUUCGCACUUUUUGCCACAUUGACUCUUAAAAAAAUUAUCUAAUAAGGAAAUGUUAAAAAUUAUCAAAGGAAAUGGAAAGCCAGUUUCCUCUUUUUUUUUUUUUUUUUUUGGAUAGUCUCGCUCUCUCACCCAGGCUGGAGUGCAGUGGUACCAUCUUGGCACACUACAACGUCUGCGUCCUGGGUUCAAGCAAUUCUCUUGCCUCAGCUUCCUAAGAAGCUGAGAUUACAGGUGUGUGCCACCCCAACUGGCUAAUUUUUGUAUUUUUAGUAGAGACAGUGUUUCACUGUGUUGUCCAGGCUGGUCACAAACUCCUGACCUCAGGUGGUACACCUGCCUCAGCCUCCCAAAGUGCUGGGAUUACAGGCGUGAGCCACCACACCCAGCUAAGCCUUUCAUGAAUCGCACACUGUCAUGAUUAGCAUGGACUGAGACAACCUAUGAGAAGAAGAGGAGUUUGCUCAAGGUCUGUAAAGAAGAAUGGUGAGAGGAGGGGGGAUGGCAUGCACACAUGCACGUACACAAACACAGGCACACGCACACACUCACAGAGGCAUUGUAAAUAGUGGCUAUCGGGGUGGGUUCCGGGCUAGGCUUCUCCAAAUUAGAUAAUGUCUCUGAGCCUCAGCUGCCUCAUCUGUAAAAUUCAGAAAGGGUGAAGCAAAUCAUACCCAGCUGAAGGAUGCCUGGAAGUCAGAUUUCUUAACCUCAGCAGUGUCAGCACUUGGGGGCUGGAUCAUUGCUUGCUGUGGGGGCUGUCCCGUGUGCUGUAGGAUGUUAGCAGCAUCCCUGGCCUCUCUAUUCACUGGAUGCCAGUAGCACUACCCCUCCCCUGGUUGUGACAACCAAAAAUACAUUGCCCAGUGUCCACUGGGGGGCAAAUUCACCCUUGGUUAAGAGCCACUGCUGAAAGGAUGAGAGAUGAUGUAUAUAAAACAGCUCAUGGUGCCUUGUGUACAGUUAGUGUUCAAUUAAUCAUCACCAUUGUUAAUUGCAUUCAUAUUUGCAUUUGGAGGGGGGUCUCUCAUCCCCACUUUACAAGUAAGGAAACAAAGCCAUAGCCAGGUUUUGAGCAGAGUUCUGGUUGUUUCCUGCAUCUGUGUUCCUGCCCCACUUCAGGCAGCCCUACCUAAGCUUGCAUCACCUGGACUCCACUGUAAAACCCCACAUCAGCUCGGAAGGAUGCAGGUGGCCAGAAAAGAGGUUUUCUGCAUUUGAACUGGGUUUCUGCACUUCCCACCAGCCAGCGCAUCAGACCGGGCUGAGGCAGAGAGGCUCCCUGGAGCUCUCAGGAAGUAUCUCAACAAUGCCAGUGUUUGUCCCCCAUCUUGAGGCUGACAAUGAUGCCAAGAAAAGCGCAGCUUCUAACCCACGGGAGAUGACGUACUGAGGUCGUUUGGAAAUUGCUUUAAUGCCUUCAAGUGCAACAAACUUAUCUGACCUCUCAGUGCCCAUGCACACCGUCCCUCUUUCGAUGAGCUCACUGAGGGUCAGGACGGUGACUUCCACAGUCAGGGCAGGGCACUGGGGCUACACUGUGAGGCUGCAUUUUCUCUGUUGACUUCCUGAGCUUUGUUUGCUCAUCCCGCGAAAUCCACUUUGCAACGCCUGGCCAUUUUCCCCCUCCAAGCUCAUCCCUCUUCAUUCGGUUUUGGACCUAUUGCCCUACAUUGAUGUUUUUGCCACGAUAAACUCUUUGAGCAAAACAGGGUUAGUCUUUAAGUCAGGAUGAGAGACACGAUUCACUCCCUGCUGUCUUAGCAAUUGACAAUGCACGGUAGUUUGCUAAAGGCCCUAAGAUGUUCCACAUUAAGGAAAUUCAUUUCUUUGUUUUAUUUAUUUUUUUUUCUGUCUUUUAGUUUUUGUUUUUGAGAGUCUCACACUGUGGCCCAGGCUGGAGUGCAGUGACGUGAUCACAGCUCACCAAAGCCUCAACAUCCUGGGCUCAGGGGUCCUCCCACCUCAGCCUCCUAAGUAGCUGGGACAACAGUUGUGAGCCGCUACCUCGUUGGCUAUAUCUUUGUAUUUCUUGUAGAGAUGGGGUUUCACCAUGUUGCCCAGGCUGGUCUCAAAGUCCUGGGCUCAAAUGAUCCUCCUGUCUGGGCCUCCUAAAGGGUUGGGAUUACAGGUGUGAGCCCCGUCUAACUGUUUUAAAAACAACUUUUCCUAAGUCUAUUUCAUUACAAACGCUUUUCCACUGUGGUGGCAAAGACUGUCUAGCAGUUCACUCAAUCCACUUCCUUAUUCCAGGUACCCAGACAGACAGUCUCCCUUGCAGUUCAGUCCAGCCACACGAUGGAGUUCUAGCAAACGGGACAGGAGAUGAAGUAUCAGGCACCUCUUCCAGGCUGCCUCGUACAAACAUCCCAUACAGUGCUUUAUUCGAUUUCCCUGUCUGCCAGCAGAGUAGAAUUGACCCAGGGGGAUGAGGAAGACAGAUGGAAAGAGCUUGAACCCUCGAACUAUCAUGUGGAAGGCUGCCUGCCACACACUUGCAUGAACCUAUAAUGUGCAUCAUUGAUAUGGUGGGAUGUUUUAUUACUGCAGCUGCUAUUACUCAUCCUGACUACUUGUCAUGAACUACUGGUUUCCCCCACCAAAUUCAUACAUUAAAGCCCUAACCCCUAUGUGGCUAUAUUUGGAGAUGGAGCCUCUAAGAAAGUAAUUAAGGUUAAUUGAGGUCAAAAGGGUGGGGUCCUGAUCUGAUAGGAUUUGUGUCCUUAUAGUAAGAGACUCCAGGUGGCGCUCAGUGGCUCACACCCGAAAUCCAAGCAGUUUGGGAGGCUGAGGCAUUUGAGGCUAAAAGUUUGAGAGCAGCCUGGGCAACAUAGCGAGACCUGAUCUAAAAUGUUUUUAAUUAGUUGGACAUUGUGGCAAGCACCUGCAGUCCUAGCUGCUCUGGAGCCUGAGACAGGAAGAUCACUUGAGCCAAGUAGGUUGAGGCUUCAGUAAACUAGGAUUACACCAAUCUGUUGCUCCAGCCUGGGCAACAGAGCGAUACCUGUGUCUAAAAAGAUUUUUAAAAAGCAAAUACACCAAAGUGUUUGCUCACUUUCUUUCUCUCCACGUGCACCAAGGAAAGGCCAGGAGAACAGCCCUCUGCAAGUCAGGAAGAGAUCCAGUGCCAGAAACUGAAUUGGCCAGCACCUUGAUCUUGGACUUCCAGCCUCCAGAACUGCAAGAAAACAAAUGUCUGUUGCAUAAGCCACUUAGUGUUUGAUACUGCAUCGUGGCAAUGUAACAAAUUUCCGAGUAACAAAUGAAUUACUACAGCAUGCAACACAAAGAAACAUCAGGGUGAUCAAUGUUUUCCAGCUCAUACUUGGAGAAUUUGUGCCUUACACAUAAUUCCCGUGAAAUUGAACAUUCAGUGAUAUUUGGAUAGGCCACAUAGGUUAAUGUUCACAGAGACCCACACAGGGUCUAAAAUGUUGCUGCAUGAUAGCUCCCUCAAGUAUUAUAUUUUUUAAAUGGGAAUAUUAUUCAGUCUUUAAAAAGGACUUCCUACCAUCUGUGGAAUGGUACCUGGAGGACACUAUGCCGGACAAGUCCCAGCACUUUGGGAGGCCAAGGUGGGUGGAUCACUUGAGGUCACGAGUUUGCGACCAGCCUGCCCAACAUGGUAAAACCUCAUUUCUACUAAAAAUACAAAAUAAUAAUAAUUAUUAUUAUCCAGGCUUUGUGGCAGCUGCCUGUAGUCCCAAGCUACUCGGGAGGCUGAGGCAGGGGAAUCAGUUGAAUCCAGGAGGCAGAGGCUGCAGUGAGCGGAGAUCACACCUCUGGGCAACAGAGCAAGAUUUUAUCUCAAAAAAAGAAAAAAAAAUACUGUAUCAAUAUACACCUUAUUCAUCCCACAUAACUCCAGCUUUACACCCUUUGACACCAUCUCCCACUUCCCCACCCCUGGCUACCACUGUUUUACUCUCUGUAUCUAUGUAUUUAUCUUUUUAAAUUUCCACAAAGAAGUGAGAUUAUGUGAUGUUUUUGUUUCUGUCUCUGGCUAAUUUCACUUGGCAUAGUGUCCUCCAGGUACCAUUCCACAGAUGGUGCCUGGCCUGAUACAGUAUUAUAAUGAUAGUCCUCAUGUUGUAUAUUACACUUCAAUUACCUCUUGAGGUGUAAUUCACAAUAUGAGGACUAUCAUUAAUAAUACUGUAAUAUGUACUGGAAAUCUGCUAAAAGGGUAGAUUUCAAGCACUGUCACCAACAUACAUGUGCAACAAGUGGUGGAAAGCUAACUCCAAUCAGCUUACACCAAAACAAUAAAACUGUAUUGGCUCAUGGGAUGAAGAAUGGGUGGUGCACCCAGGUCAAGGGAAGGGGGUGGGGAGAGAGUGUGGUCUCAAGGAUCUCAGUGUCUCCAAGUCAUCCACCUUGUUCCUUUUCACUAUGCCUUCACUCCCUCAUACUAUGGACUCUUAUGUUCAUGCACCAGGUCCCGAUCUUAUCAUUUCUGUCACCAACCAGAAGAAAAAGAAUGACUUAUUCCUGGUUUAAAGAAUCCUCAGAGAAAACCCUGAUUGGCUGGCUUAGGUCAAGUGCCUAAUUUUGACCAACCAGCUAUAGGCAGAGCAGGGCAGGGUCACUUCAGUAAUACAGACAGAGCUGUGGGGUUUCCAUUCCUGUGACUGGAGACCUGGCCCCCAUGAAAUGUCUCGUUCUGAGCGGGCUGUCCUUUGAAGGGGCAUGCACCAGAUGUGUUCUGAGCACCAUGGCUGUUUGGGAAGGUACAUAUUGAUACCUGUGUUAGUUUCCUAUUGCUGCUUUGAGAACUCACCCAUUUUACGGCAGCUUAAAACAACAGACAUUUAUUCUCUCACAGUUCUGAAGGCCAGAAGUAUGAAAUUGAGGUGUGGGAAGGGUUCAUUACUUCUAGAGGAUCUGAGAGGGCAUGUGUGCCAUGCCUCUCUCCCAGCUGUUGGUGGUUGAAGCAAUCUUUGGCAUUCCUUGGCUUGUACACUAUCACUCCAGGCUCUGCCUCCGUCUACACAUGAGUUCACAUGGCUUUCUCUCCCACGUCUGUGUAUCUUAAAUUUCCCAUUCUUUUUUCUUAAAAGGAGACUAGAUUGGAUUUAGGACCCACUUAAAUAAUCCAGGAUGAUUCCAUCUUGAGAUACUGAACUGCAUUUCAAAUAAGUUUCCAUUCCCAGGUACCUGAAGUUAGGGCAUAGACAUAUCUUUUUAGGGACCACUCUUUAGUGCAUACCUGAAAGUACCAGCUCUAUUCCUUCAGGGACAUAUUGGAUAAUUGUACUUUUAUAUGACAAGGCAUUGAGAGUUAUUUUUAUUUUUCCUCUCUCUUUUUCUUAUUUUUCAAGGUAACAUUUGUUGAUCUACAUAAGACAUUCUACAUCACUUAAGUGUGUUGGAAAUUAAAUUUAAUGAAGAAAAGACAAGGGUUUGGGGAAAAGCUUCAAUUUCAUCUUCAGGAAGUCCUUUUCUGGACAUCCCUUUUGCACUGUUUAUGGAAAUUUGCUGUUUUUCUGUAGGUUCCCAUGGUAGACACAGUCACCCAGACCCUCCUCUUUGACAAUUACCUGCUCCACCAAUGAGCAGGCUACUUGACUCCCUAGCCAUAACCGAUUGGUCCAGAAGUAGACAGGUGGCCCAUUCUGGGCCAAUCAGAUGGUCUUUCCUUGGAGGAGUCCUGUUGCUAUCUGGGCUGGUCUCCUCCAUGGAGAUUAUAUGUAUCUGAGUCAUGGAGAUGAUAUAUAUCUAAAUCAAGGAGGGUCAUUUUCUGCCCUGUGCUCUGAAGGCAGCUGGAUGAUGAAGGCAGAGGCAGAUCCACAAAAGGAGGCAAUGGUGAGAGAAGGGAAGACAGGACUGGCUUAGACGCAAAAAAUAGUAGGUUUGUCCUACUUCCUAUUUUUCCUGGGGGAGGACUAGCUACAAUGUCUGCACUUCGAUGACAGGCAUUACAUGAGGCCGCUGGAUCCCCAUGUCAAAUUUCCUCCAUUUAAAAAAAUUGCUUAAAGUAGCCUUGAAAGAGUGUUAACUGUCAGCAGAGAACUCCAGAGAAUUCUCUUCUUUGUUAGCCAGUUAACUUCCAUUACCUCCCAGUCCACUGCUGCACUUUUUUCUGGAUCUUAAUUUCCUCAUCUAUAAAAUAUGAAUAAUAAAAGCUACCUCAAAGGAUUGUCAUAAGAAUUAAAUAAGAUAAAUCUGGGAGUUUUUUCUGAGAUCUUUUUCAAAAAAUAUUAAUAUGGAAUAUCACAUACUGGGGGCAGUUGGCGGGGGUGGCCAGGGGAGGCACAGUGGAGGGGUGGGGAGGCUGGGGAGGGAUAACAUGGGGAGAAAUGCCGGAUAUAGAUGAAGGGGGAAUAGAGGCAGCAGACCACCUGGUUAUGUAUGCACCUAUGCAACAACCCUGCAUGACCUGCACAUGUACCCCAGAACCUAAAGUACAAUUAAAAAAGAAACUAUUAAUAUCAUAUAUUACCCUUUUGGUGUUAGACUGUGAAUUACUUAACAGCAAAAACCAUCACUUGUUGUUGUUUUUUUUUUUUUUGGAAACGGAGUCUUGCUGUCACCCAGGCUGGACUGCAGUGGUGCAAUCAUAGCUUACUGCAGCCUCGAACUCCUGGGCUCAAGAGAGCCUCCUUCCUCAGCCUCCUGAGUAGCUGGGACCACAGGCAUGUGCCAUCACACAUGGCUAAUUAAAAAGAAAAACUGUAGAGAUGAGGGUCUCAUGAUGUUACCCAGGCUAGUCUCAAGCUCCUGGGCUCAAGGGGUCCUCCCUCCUCUCCUCCCGAAGUGCCAGGAUUACAAGCAUAAACCAUCUCAUCCAGCCCUUUAAAACAAUUUUUUGGCCGUGCACAGUGUCUCACACCUGUAAUUCCAGCACUUUGGGAGGCUGAAGCAGGUGGAUCACUUGAGGUCAAGAGUUCAAACCCCGCCUGGCCAACGUGGUGAAACCCCAUGUUUUCUCUCAUUUUGUCUCUACGGGAAAUACAAAAAUUAGCUGAAUGUGGUGGCAGCCACCUGUAAUCCCAGCUACUUGAGAGGCUGAGUCAUGAGAAUCACCUGAAUCCGGGGGGGCAGAGGCUGCAGUGAGCCGAGAUCAUGCCAUUGCACUCUCGCCUGGACAACAUAGUGACACUGUGUCUCAAUAAAUAAUAAAUAAAUAAAUAAGUUUUAAAAUCUCCAGCUCCUGACAUGAGAUUUGGCACCUACUAGUGUGCUUGAUAAAGGUUUGUUAAUGAAACAAAUAAUUGCUAUUUGACGACCUCAAACAGCAAAUGACUCUUCCUACAAAUGACCUCAUUUAAAUCUUAUAUCCCCUGGAGAGCUAGAUGUUAUUAUUAACACCAUCUUACUAAUGAGGAAACAAGGGCUCAGAAAAGGUGGGUACAGUUCUCAAGGCUGCACAGUCAGUGGUUGAAGCAGGCUUUUUUAAUUUUUUUUAAGGCAGAGUGUCACUCUAUCAUCCAGGCUGGAGUGCAGGGGCAUGAUAUCAGCUCAUUGCAACCUCCACCUCCAAGGUUCAAGCAAUUCUCCUGCCUCAGCUCCCGAGUAGCUGGGAUUAUAGGUGCACACCACCAAACCUGGCUAAUUUUUCUAUUUUUUUAGUAGAGACUGGGUUUCAUCAUGUUGACCAGGCUGGUCUUGAAAUCCUGACCUUAGGUAAUCCACCCACCUCGGCCUCCCAAAGUGCUGGGAUUACAGGUAUGAGCCACCGUGCCUUGCCUGAAGCAGGUCUCCAAGGCACCUCUCUCUCUGCACUGUGAGCUUACACUCACAGCCAUCACAUGAGACUCGACACAGGUGGGCUUCAAGGCACGGUAGCCACUCCUUGAACCUGGGAGGAGGCUUUUACAGCAGAGAAAGGGCAGGUGGGCUGCCCGGACGCUGGAGGCUGAACCCUCUGCUGCCCUGCAUCUGUUGUAGGAAAAAGCCUCGUGAGCUGGGUACUGAUCUGGGAACGUGUGGUCUGAACUCCAGCUGCCCAGGCUUAGGGGCAGAGGGAGGUUCGGCGUUCCCCAUGCUCAGCACGCUAGCUUCCCGCUGCGGUGGGGCCAGUGACAGAUGCAUUCCGAGAACAAGCAGACACCUCUGUGCUCACCCACUUUAAUUAGGUGAAGGAGUCAGGACCCAUUAGGAUCACCUAGAAAUACCAUGCCGGGCCUGUGCUCCACCCACACAUGCUCCAAAUCGCUGCCUUCCCACUGCAACUACUGUUUGGUGAGUAUUUCUUUAUUUGUAGUUUUUAAAAAAUUAAGCAGAUAAUACAACCGCAUGGUAAUUUUUUCAAACAGCACAAGAAGAUACGUUAUAAAAAUCAGCUGGGCACAGUAGCUUACACCUGUAAUCUCAGCACUUUGGAAGGCAGAGGUGGGAGGAUCCCUUGAGUCUCAGAGUUCAGGACUAGCCCGGAGAAACAUGGAGAAACCCCAUCGCUAGAAAAAAUAAAAAAUUAGCCAGGCAAGCUGGUGCAUGCCUGUAGUCCUAGCCACUUAGGAGGCUGAGGUGGGAGGAUCACUCAAAGUUGGAGGCUGCAGUGAGCCAUGAUAGUGUCAUUCCACUGUUGCCCACCAGGGUGACAGAGUAAGACCCUGUCUCAAAAGUAACUACAUAAACAAAUAAUCUGGUCUCACUCUUAUCACUGACUGCAAGGCUACCUCCCCACAAGUCAUGACUAUUUUAACAGUCUCUUGUGUAUCCUCCUUCAAUAAAUGUUUUGUUUCUGAAAAAGUGCAGUGGCACUAUCGGCAGCCCCAGAUUCCCAGGCUCAAAUGAUCCUCCUGCCUCAGCCUCCCAAGUGAAUGGGCCCACAGGCACGCACCAGCAUGCCCAGCUAAUUAUUUUUAUUUUUGUAGAGACAGGGUCCCUAUGAAAAUAUGAAUGCUCAUGUCCAGGAAUACUUAUAUCUAAUAUUUAAAAACAGGCACACAAUUUUUUUCUAGUUAAUAAGACAUUUUGGAAGUGGCUCCAUAGCACAAAGGAUGCUGCAUUUCCAUGAUGUUCAUUACAUCAUUUCCGUAUUGGGUGGAUGGACGUCUGUGGUGUAUGGAGUCAUCUGUUAUCACCAACAGUGGCUCAACGAGCUCUUUACAGCCUCAGUCCUUGCUUUAUGUGCAGUGCAUUCACAGAAAACAAUUCCUUGUGGUGCAAUUGCUGGAUCAAAGACUAAACUUUUUUCUUUUUGUUUUGUUUUUGUUUUUUUGAGACAGGAUCUUGCUCUGUUGCAUGAGCUCUGUUGCAAUUCUCCUGCCUCAGCCUCCCAAAUAGCUGGGACUACAGAUGCACGCCACCACACCCAGCUAAUUUUUGUAUUUUUUUUAGUAGAGACAGGGUUUCACCAUGUUGGCCAGGAUGGUCUCAAUCUCUUGACCUUGUGAUCCACCCGCCUUGGCCUCCCAAAGUGCUGGGAUUACAGGCAUGAGCCACUGUGCCUGGCCUAUUUUUAUUUUUUUUGAGACAGUCUCGCUCUGUUACCCAGGCUGGAGUGCAAUGGGGCGAUCUCGGCUCACUGCAACCUUCGCCUCCCAGAUUCAAGUGAUUUCCCCUGUCUCAGCCUCCCAAGUAGCUGGGAUUACAGGCAUGCACUACCAUACCCAGCUAAUUUGUAUAUUUUUAGUAGAGAUGGGGUUUCACCAUGUUGGCCAGGCUGGUUUUGAACUCCUGACAGAUGAUCUGCCCACCUUGGCCUCCCAAAGUUCGGGGAUUGCAGGUUUGAACCACCACACCUGGACUGGAUGUGUAUCUUUAAUUGCAAUAGAUAUUGCCACCCAGUUUAAUGUCACCAACUGAUGAUCUCCCAAGAACAUGUCAGUCUCUAAGACAGGUUCCACUUCACUCUGUUUCCCGAUGUUUGCGUCCAGUUUGUCUCUUGGAAAUCCCACAAGUGUUCCCCUCACUCCAGCCAACUGCCCAACUCUAGGGAAAUCCUCUCACACAAGUUAUAAACCAGAAUUAUGAGUCUGGCUGGUAAAAGAUCUUUUAAAAAUCAUUUGCAUAGUAUACAAAAUAGUAUACAUAAUAUAGAAAUAUAAAAUAAUGCAUGCUCAUAUGAGUGAUUGAAAUCCAAUGGUGAAGGGAAAUGGUUAGGAAAUAAUAUUAAAUAACAAAGGCAGAAUGCAAAGAGUGGUUCUUACUCUUGGCUGGGUACAUUGGCAUCCCUGGGAACUAGUGGAAAUAUAGAUGCCGAGACCCCCAAACCUGGGGAUUCUGUUCAGUAGGCUAGGAAUAGAUAGAACAAGAGCAAAAGCCAGCAUUUUUAGCCAGCUUGCCGUCAGAGGCUAUGCACCCACAAAAUGUUAUCUAUUCACUGUGAUCUCAAACGGGAUCAAAGAACAAAAAAUGAGGAACCCAACCAGAAGGAAACAGCGCUUGUCUCCGGGUUUGCUGAGUCUGCGAUGCAUGUUUUCCUCUGUGUUUUCCUGUGGUUUUGCAAACUUUCCUACUGAGAAAGGAUGUUUAGAAAUAAAAGAAUGUUCUAAAAAUGUAGAAGCUCCCUCCCUCCCUCCUUUCCUAUUUUUUUCUCUCCUUUCUUCCCUCUCUCCCUUUCUUUCUUCUUUCUUCCCUUCUUUCUUUCCUCCUUUCUUUUUCUUCUUUCUUUCCUUUCUUCCUUUCUUUCUUUCUUUCCUUCUGUGUGUGAGAUGGAGUUUCACUCUGUCGCCCAGGCUGGAGUACAGUGGCAUCAUCUCACCUCACCGAAACCUCCACCUGCUGGGUUCAACCAAUUUUCCUGCCUCGGCAUCCCAAGUAGCUGGGACCACAGGCACGUGCUACUAUGCCCAGCUAAUUUUUGUAUUUUUAAUAGAGAUGGGGUUUCACCAUGUUGUUCAGGCUGGUCUCAAACUCCUGACCUCAGGUGAUCUGCCCGCCUUGACCUUCCAAAGGGCUGGGAUUACAGGCAUGAGCCACCAUGCCCAGCCCAUCCUUUCUAAUUCAGUUCAGAUUGGAGACGACAGUCAUAAAGAUUGAUGACAGCAUGUGAUCCUGAACUGUGUCCCUUUGCUGUAACGAGCAUCACUGGGACAAUUAUCAGCACUUGAAUAAGGUCUCUGAGUGAGAGGUAUAGGGAAGUUCUUUGUUCUAAUAUUGCAGUUUUUCUGUAAAUUGGAGGCUUCGAGGCUUCACGGAAGCAUCUCUCCAUCACUUUGCUGAGAUAAGACUUUUUUGGCCAGGCGCAGUGGCUCACCCCUGUAAUCCUAGCCCUUUGGGAGGCCAAGGCGGGAAAAUCACUUGAGGUCAGGAGUUUUAGACCAGCCUGGGCAACAUAAGGAGACUCCAUCUCUACCAAAAAUACAAAAAUUGGCUGGGCAUGGUAGCAUGCAGCUGUAGUUCCAGUUACUCAGGAGGCUGAGGUGGGAGGAUGGCUUAAGCCCAGGAGGUGGAGGUUGCUGUGCACUCCUGAGUAGCUGGGAUUUAUUAGCAUGUGCCACUAUGCCAUGCUAGUUUUUGUAUUUUUUAGUAGAGGCGGGGUUUCACCAUGUUGGCCAGGCUGGUCUUGAACUCCUGAUCUCAAGUGAACCACCUGCCUCAGCCUCCCAAAGUGCUGAGAUUACAGGCAUGAGCCACCAUGACCAGACUGGGUGAGAGUGAGACUGUUUAAAAAAGAAAAUAGAAUUGACGUUGACAUGGCACUGUGAUCUAAUCUUCAGAUCAAUUUCCACCAGAAUGUAUCUCAUACCAAAAUUUUAAGAGCUGUUCUAGUUCAGGAUUCCAUCCAAGAUUUUCCAUUGCAUUUAGUGGUCAUGUCCCUUUGAUCUGCUUUCACUUAGAAUGUUCCUCAGCCUUUCAUGACAUUGAUUUUUUGUUUGUUUUGAGACGGAGUCUCACUCUGUCACCAGGCUGGAGUGCAGUGGCUCCAUCUUCUGCUCACUACAACCUCUGCCUCCCAGGUUCAAGCGAUUCUCCUGCCUCAGCCUCCUGAGUAGCUGGGAUUACAGGCACACACCACCAUGCCCAGCUAAUUUUUGUAUUUGUAAUAGAGGCUGGGUUUCACCAUGUUGGCCAGGAUGGCUUCGAUCUCUUUACCUUGUGAUCCAUCCACCUCAGCCUCCCAAAGUGCUGGGACUGUAGGCAUAAGCCAUCGCACCCAGCCUGACAUUUUUGAAGAGUACAAGCCACUUGCUAGGUAUUCGUCCCUUGAUGCUGUUUGCCUGGUGUGUUCUCGUUAUGCAAUUCAGGUUUUGCAUCUUUGGCAAGAUGAUAACAGGCUAAUUUUGUGUUUUCCUUCGCAUGCCAGGUGAAGCCCCAGAUGUCGGUUUGUCCUCUUCUGACUUGUUCACAUUGAUUACUCAAUUAAUGGUCCUGCCAGUUUUCGCCAAUGUAAAAUGGAAUCUCGCUCUGUCUCCCAGGCUGGAGUGCAGUGGUGCAGUCUUGGCCUCACUACAUCCUCCACCUCCCAGGUUCAAGUGAUUCUCCUACCUCAGCUUCCGAAGUAACUGGGAUUAUAGACACCUGCCACCAUGCCCGGCUAAUUUUUGUAUUUUUAGUAGAGAUAGGGUUUCACCAUGUUGGCCAGGCUGAUCUCGGCCUCCCAAAUUGCUGGGAUUACAGGCGCAGCUGCACCUCCUUGGAUCCUCCAUAGCCGCCAGAAGACGCUCCGGGAAGUCAGAGAGUGUGAGAACUCAAGAGGUGGCAGUUGAGUAAGAACUGGGCUGUGUGCAUCGUGGUGAAAGUCACAGCAAGAACAGGGAAGAUCGAGGGGAUGAUCAAUCGGAGGAGGACUGGAAGGCACCUGUGGAUGAGGCCAGGAGGCACCCAGCCCAACAAACUCUGGCCAGAAACCUAAGUAGAAGACCCUCAGGAAGACAGACGAGGCAAGCAGUGAAUGAAGAACACAGGCAGCCUGCCCUGAGGACUUGAGGGAGUCCUGCAGUUCCUUGCACGGCCCCUCUUCCGCUUUCUGAAAUGGCUGUGGUCACCUGUCGCACGGAUGAUGUUCCGGUCAACAACAGACUGCAUGUAUCAUGAUGAUUCCGUAAGAUCCUGAUGGAGCUGAAAAGUGUACCACACUACUGUGUCUGAGGUGACGCUGGUGUCAACAGGCCUGCGGCACUGCCAGUCACUGUAAAGAUUUUAGGGCUGGGCGCAGUGGCUCAGACCUGUAAUCCCAGCACUUUUAGAGGCCAAGGAGGGCGGAUCAUUUGAGGUUGGGAGUUCAACAUCAGCCUGGCCAACAUGGUGAGGAAGAGUGAUACAGUCCAUUGAUAUGACGCCCAAGCGAUUUUUUUGUGUUUUCAGUAGAGACAUCAGCCUGUCGAUCAGCCCAUCUAUCAAUCAGCCUGUCUACCAGCCCGUCUCUACUGAAAAUACAAAAAUUGCUUGGGCGUGGUGGUGUGUUCGUGUACUCCCAGCUCCUUGGGAGGCUGAGGCAGAAGAACCACUUGAACUCAGGUUUCAGUGAGCUAAGACUGUGUCAGUGCACUCCAGCCUGGGUGACAGAGCCAGACUCCACCUCAAAAAAUUAAAGGCAGAAAAAAACUCAAGAGUAGGGAUAUUGUAUCUAAGUGUUGUUAUGAAAGUCAAGAAGUUUAAAAACUUUAUAAAGUACAAAACUUAUACACAAAGGGGAUUAUUAAAGGAAAAUCUCUUUUAAAGUCAGGAUUGCCUAGGGGUCCCAUAUCUGUAAAGUCCACAGGAGUGCACAUGGCCUCCUGGGCCUUCACCUUCCCUUACCGCUCAGCCAGAACCACUUCCAGUCCUGCAGCUUCAGCCACAGGCAGGGCCCCACACAGGUGGGCCACUUUCCACUUCUUACCACGUUUCAAGAUCCACAAAUACCCCUGGGUUACAGGAAUGUGCUGUACAGGUUUGUGUAGGCGCACUGUGUGACAUUCACACACUACGACAAUCACCUAAUGACCCAUCUCCCAGAAUGUAUCCCGUCAUUAGAUGACGUGUGACUGUAUUUGGCACAGCUGGUCUGGUGCAUCCCAAUGGACAAAACCAAAUUGGAAUCACUCAAGCCCAAUGCCACCUAAUUAAACUACAACUUUAAGCAGGAAGGCCCCCACGCAGGCAAUGCAGUGUACCUGAGACAGCAGAAGGAGGAGGUCCCCUCUGUUUAACUCUUAACAAAAAAAAAAAGUCACCUGAGGUAACCUGCUGUCUAACCGAUCCAUUAUUUUUCCCUCGUCUUCCCUUCCUUGCCCCCACCUCUCAAAACCUACUGUUCUGCCACUGCUCAGUGGGAACUCUCAUCCUAUUUUGUACAAUGGAGGCUGCCUCAAUUCGUGAAUCACAAAAGCCAGUGGAAUCUGUAUCUAGAUUUACUGUAAUUCUGUCUUCUGCCACUAUUCACUCAGAAGGCAUCAGCGUACAGCCUCCCACUCCUGCUCCUGGAGAAUGCCCACCCCUUUAUUGGGCCAUUCCCCAGUGGCUUCCUCCAGGACUCGGCUCUGCAACUCCAUAGCUCCCCUCUCCCAUGGCCUCACCUCUGACGGUGCCCUCUCUCUCUGCCUCCCAGCCCCUCUGGCCAGCACUGAGUCUUCAUCCUCUAUCUCAGGAGAACUUCUUAACAGACUGGUAGGCAACAACUGACUUCCUCGCCUCACCCAACCCCGUGACUCCACUUUUAAACUCUCAGGAAAGUCACCAAUGACCACUGUGUUGUCAAAGCCCUGGGUGGCGCUGGGUGCAGUGGCUCACACCUGUAAUGCCAGCACGUUGGGAGGCCGAGGCAGGCGAAUCACUUGAGCUCAGGAGACCAGCCUGGCCAACACGGUGAAACCCUGUCUCUACUAAAAAUCCAAAAAUUAACUGGGUGUGGUGGUAGUGCCUGUAAACUCAGCUAUUCAGGAGGCUGAGGAAGAAGAAUCACUUAAAUCUGGGAGGCGGAGGUUGCACUGGGCCGAGAUGACGCCACUGAACUCCAGCCUGGGUGACAAGAACAAAACUCCAUCUCAAAGAAAAAAAAGCCAACAGUGGCUUGUUCUAGUUGUAUUUUCUCGACCAGUCAGCAUCUCCACCCUCUUGUGACAUUCCUCCCAUCUCUCUGAGGACUGCUUUGCCACUAAAUCAUGGAGGGUCCCGGGUCUUUGCUGCCUGCACUGCUGCUGUGUUCUCGCCCAGUCAGAUGGCUUUCUGUAGAUCCAAAAUGGCAAAGCUUCCCAAUUUCACAUGUUGGCCCAGAGUUCCAGAGUCCAUGUAUCCAGUGCCAAUUUUGGUGUUUCCAUGAAUGUCUAGUAAGUAUCCCUACCUUGAACAUGGCCAAAACAUAAAUUCUGGCCAGGUGCAGUGACUCAUGCCUCUAAUCCCAGCAUUUGGGGAGGCUGAGGCAGAUGAUGGCUUGAGCCCAAAGGAGUUUGAGGCCAGCCUGGGUUGCAGAGUGAGACUCCAUUGCUACAAAAAAAUACAAAAAUUAGAUGUCGUGGCAUGUGCCUGUAGUCCAGCUACUCAGGAAGCCAAGGUGGGAGGGCUGCUUGAGCCUGGGAGGCAGAGGCUGUAGUGAGCCAAGAUCACACCACUACACUCCAGGCUGGACAACAGAUCGAGACCCUAUGUCAGAAAAAGAAAAAAAACGAAAUUCUGUUUUUUCCCCAUCAAACUUGUGUUCCUCCUCUGGGCUUCCAUACUCAAGAAAUGGGACAGCUGCCGCCUCCACUGUUCAGACCAGCAGUCUGGGGAGCACCUUGCCUUCUCCUUUUCUUCCCAUCACAUACCAAAUCCAUCAAUGCCCAGUGGCCUCUGGCUUCUGCCUCCAGACACAUGUUCACUGCUACCUCCACUACAUCUCCGCUGCGACUCCUAAACCCACACAUCUCCCUUCUCACCUAGACCGGCAGAGCUCACUCCCAAGCAGUCUCCUGGCUUUCUCUACAUUCAUCCAAAGGUCUGUCAUUCCCUCCUCAGACAAAACCCUCCCAUGGCUUCCCUCUGCGUUCAGAAUGAAAUGCAAAUGCUUUUGCCAGGGCUGCAAUUCCAUGGUCACUUCCUCCAGAUACAAGGACUGCUGGCAAUGCCCUAACUCCUCCUUGGAUGAUCAGCCUUCAUCCAAAAGUCCCCUCUAGUCACACACCACUGCAUUAGUCCCUUGGAGUUUCUUCACAGGAUCUGUCACCAUCUAGUGUCGUCUUGCCCCCCAUAUCCCCAGUGCCUAGAAUUAUGUCCGGUGCACUCAACCCGGUGAGAGAAAUCACAAGUGGACUGCUCCCCACUAGCCUCACAGCACCUUGCAUUUGCCAGCUUAGACAGGGAGAUGGGGUAUAACACCAGGACACCAAACUCGCAAUCAGAAAGCCCUGGGGUAGAUUUCAGACUUGGCAACAUCCGGGAUGUGUCGUGAUGACAAAGCUAUUUAACCUCUCCAAGGAUGACUUUCAGUUACUAGGAGUGAUAAUCCAUACUCACCUCUCUCAAUGGAAGUGGGGAUUAUGUUACUUUUACAAGUCCAUUAAUAACAAAAGUGUCCUCUAAGCCUCAGAUAAUGCUAUGGUGACACGGCAUGAGUCCAGAGGACAAAUGAGCAAAAAUAAAAUACAUUUGAAAAUUGAUACCACACAGGUGGCGUUACAAGUCGGUGUGAUGUAAACACACCUGAUACCACAUGCAAAAAUAUAUAAGGGUCAAGACGGAGAGCUGUGACUCCCUGCAAUGAAAGACGGCCUGGGAGAUGGCAGCUAGGGAAAUGCCCCGAGUGUGGGAAGGGGAUCCCAAAGAGCAACCAGAGGGGCCGGCAGCCCAGCAGACACACAAGGAAAGGCAGCGCCUGCCUCAUGGGAGAAAGGCUGACCAAUGUGUUUUUCAGUAAUUCCAGCAACAUCGGUGACCCUUCCACAUGCCAAGUAGUACCAGGGCUACAAGAGGAACAAAGCGGACAGCGUCCCUGCUCUCUGGGAGGUCAUACCCUGGGUCUGGACACCCUCAUCUCUUACUCAUCUGCUGCCUACAGUCCAGGCUCCAUGCCUCACCUGAGCGACCCAGCUGAUACCAGGCCAGAUCUCAUCACUCCUGCACCAAGCCUUUCUAGGAGAAUAAGCCUUCCUAUACUCUGAGAUCCUCCCUGAUCUGCCCUUUCACCUUUCCUCUUCCUUCCCUCCUCCCCACCACUCCAGCCACCCUCAAGGUUCCUGGGUGGCACCAGGCAGGAACACUCCUGUACCCCGUUGCAAGAAAGAAAGGCACUACAGCUGGAUGACCCCCUCGUCGCCUCUCACUUUCUCCAGAGGCCCUCCUUGCUGCGCUCCCCGCCCCAUCCACCUCCCCUGCACCGACUGUUCUGCAUGACAUGCUGAGGUAUCUGUCUUCUUCCCCAGCACCCUGCCACCUACGGAGACAGAGUGGAACAGAGCAGGUGCUCAAUACAAAUGUCGGGAAUAAAUAAGUGUAUUCUAAGGGGGGAGAGCGCACAUUUCAAUACACUUACCUUUAUGGGUAACAGGAAAAUGCAAACUGAAAAACACUCAAAGGCGGCUCUUACCAGGCACUGGGAGGUUCUAAGGAAUGGCGCUCACGCGAAAUAAACCGGUAUAACCUCAGAAAACCGACGCGUGUGUGUGUGCGUGUGUGUGUGUCCGUCCUCCUCUAACUUGGGAGCUCCAUGUCUCGGUGUCUCCUAUACAAAAUUGUUGAACAAGUUCACAAAGACGCGUGUGAGGAUGUUGAGGACAGCGUCCUUCUGAGGAGGAAGCAUGGAAAUAGCCCCAUGCCCAUGCGUGGGACCCAUGGACCUGGGAUAGCAGGGGAGCAGAAGCAGCACGACACACACCCACUGCAGGGACACAGAGACAUCCGCAGGACCUGAGUAAGUGAAAAGCUUCAGAACAAGACAGAUCUGGUCCCAUUUCAGUUAAAACUGAAACCACACAUGAAGCAAGUACCCAUGUGUAUACAGACACGCCAACGGGCAGAGACGAGGACGCAGCCAAGGACGACGUUCAUGUUCCACUCUGUACACGCUCAUCGUUAAAACAGCUUUAGCCACAACUUUUCCACACACUGCUCAUUUGAUUAAGAACAAAGCAUCCUGGCUGGGCACGGUGGCUCAGACCUGUAAUACCAGCGCUUUGGGAGGCCAAGGUAGGAGGACCACUUGAGGUCAGAAGUUUGAGACCAGCCUGGGCAACGUGGCAAAACCCCGUCUCUACCAAAACUACAAAAAUUAGCUGGGCGUGGCAGUGCACACCUGUAAUCCCAGCUAUUUGGAAGGCUGAGGCAGGAGAAUCCCUUGAAUCCUGGGAGGCAAAGGUUUCAGUGAGCCAAGCUCAUGCCACUGCACUCCAGCCUGGGUGAAAGGGUGAGACUCCAUCUCAAAAACAAAAAAGAACAAAGCAUCCUGCAAAAGAGCCCACAACUGCUGCUUAGAGAUCCCCCUAGAACACUCUGCUGGGCCCCUCUUCCUGCGCUGUGAUGGCAGGUGUGCACCAGCACUGCCUGCUCUAAGCAGUUGGGGCUAGUCUGAGCUGGUCUACACCAGGCUCAGCAGGUUGGAAUGAGUCAGACCCGGUUUUCAGCAACAGAACUACUUAAAAGUUCAACCAGUGAGCACAUCUCGCAAGCUCUGAGCAGACGGGCUUGCCUUCUCUACGUCUCCUCCAGCAAUUUCCCAGGGUUGGCUGGCUACUCAUUUCUCACCUUCCUCCAUAGGCCUUCACGGGUGGCCCGAGUGGUCUCGUACAAUCUCCCCCACGAAUUUCCAACUCCCCAUCUGCUAGCACGGCCUCUGGAAAUAACUGCAGCUGUGCACUGACCCCAGAGCUGUGAGCCAGAUGCCCAAUACCUCCCCAGCCUGCAAACCCCAGGCCAAGCCUGACCUACACGGAAGUCAGUGUUGCGGGAGUUACCAUCUCUACUUAGUGUCCACAGCCUCUUAAAGCUGGUCAUAUCCCACUCUCCUGAUUUCAGCCCCUCACAUGCUGCCUGCUGUCCUCGCCUGUCCUGUCCCUGUGUCCACACCUGCCCAUGCCCUGCCAUCUGCCACUUGCUAUACCCCUCCUGUGGCACGUCAGGGCCUCACACUGCUGGCUGCUCCCUCCUCAGGAUGACUCAAAUCUCAGAGCUGAGAGGAAUUCACAUCUUAGCUCAGAAGUGACUUCACUGGAGAUACCAUGUCUCUUACCAGUCUCCCAGUCUACACCUCCCUCACCCCCAACCCUUGUAAAUGCCCUUCAUGGCCUGUGUCUCCCACUGCAGUCAUUCCAUUUGUUUGGUGAGAGCCAACUUGAAAGCAAUUUGGUUUUUGCUCUUUCAGUCACCCCCAUGAGAAUGUAAACUCCAUGAGGGCAGCAAGUUGGCUGGCCUGUGUGCUGGUGCCGGAGACAUCAUUGACGAAUGAAGGCCUAUUUUUGAGCAAGAUUCCUGAGGACUGAUGGUUGGUGAUAUGAUGGACCGAGGUAUUUCACUCCAGCACUUGAGCCAGAAAAUCAACCAUGUCCUCACCCCUGCUCUGAGCCAGGCACCGUCCUCGCUGUCUUACAGGUAUUGGCCCAUCAAACCCUCACAAAAGCCAGGAGGGAAGUUCCGUUAUCAUCUCCUCUUCCAGAUGAGGAAACUGAUACACAGAAGCUAAUUGGUCCAGGCUUAGAAGCCCCUAGGAGGCAGAGCUGGGGUGUGGUGAUGGAUGUCGGACUCCAGGGCCCUCCCCUGCCUCAUCCGCCGCUGUCUCCCUUUCUGCAGAAUCUGUAGAUUAAGGUGUACUGGAAUGAAGCCUCAGACACUUCCGGAUCAUCCAUGGUUGCACUCUCACUGUGAUAGCACAGCUGAGACAGUGGCCCAAAAACCCUUCCCAUCUGAGCCCAGACUCACCACCAUUUCUACAGACAUGGACCAGCAGGAGCUGCUAUCACUGUGCUGGGCACAGCCUGGCUGAGUGGUCUCACUGGAUCCUCAUGGCAGCUCAGUAUGGUUGGGUAUAGCGAUCUCCACCUUACAGCAGACAGAGGCUCAGAAUCAUCAUCUACCUGGUCUGUAUCCCCAGCCACUAAGUGGCAGAACCAAGAUGGGGAAGCCAAAGUUUGACUCUGACAACCAUGUGCUAUGGAAGCAGGCCCUGGUUAUGCAAUGAAGCAUCCAGGAAAUGAUUAUUUCUUGUCAGCUGCUCCCUUCCAGAAGUUCCCAGUGGAAGGAGGGUGGCACUUGCAUCCUAUCGCAUGGAAAUGGAAACGAAAGCUCAGAGAAAACAUUUGGGCCUGAGUCUCACAAGAGGAGGCCGGGCUGAUGCCUCAGACUCAGAUCUGACUCUGGCACCAGAAUUUGCUCCAUCCAGCCUUUUGAAAGCAGGGCUUCUCAACUUUGGAUGCACCUUAGAGUCACCUGAGGAACUUAAAAAAAAAAAACGGAUGCUCAGGCCCAAGCUCCAGAGAUUACUGUUGCAUUAACUAGGCAGGUUAACGCACCUGGCAUGCUUUUAAAAAUACAAAACCUGUCCUUUGUAUUUUUAAAAGCAUGCCGGGUGAUCCCAUGUGCAAGCUGUGGGUGAGACCCGACUUGAAAGCAGUCUUAUGGCUGGGGAAAUUCUGCAAAUGUAAAGACUAGCCCCCAAAAGAAUGAUUUCCCCCUAUGUCUGAGGUGACAGGUGGCUUUUUGGUGGGUUGAGAAGCUGGUUACAUUCAAUGGUGUCUGAACCUCCUGGAGAAGUAAUUUCUCGACUGUCCUCACAAGAUGGCAGAUCUGAGCAUACUCUGUCGCUGAAGGCUCCCUGUGGGGAAGUCUGCGCGAUGGUACUGAGGAUGUCCUAAGACUUUCCUGGCAGCUAUGGACCACUGUUUCAUCAUUUCAGACCAGCUAUCAUUCAAGGAAGGAGGAUCACCUGAUGAUGAAAACGGCAGGCUUCCCUCGCCUGGAUGGCACCUCUUUUAGGAGCCUGUCACUCGGCUGAAGAAGAAAUAUUUAGAUGAAGGACACCUUUCCACUGUGCCCUAAGCUGUUCUACCUUUAUGAUUCAACUAAAAAUGUAUUUCCGCUUUUGAAAAAACCCAGCAAUUCUGAGCUUCCCUCACAGGUUUCCUCCCAGAAAGAGUCUAUCAUGAAAACACCACUCAAAACUCUUCCAUGACAGGGUGAAGAAAAUAAAGCAAAACAUAUUCUUUUCUCCGUCCUAUCUCAGCUCUUCAGCCUCAGUAUGCUUUUUAAACCAUUUUAGUUUGUCACCUUUUUUGAAUAGGUAACACAGAAAGGAGUGCUGAGUAAAAGCAUGAGGAGGUGAAUGCAUGGAAAUGUGAGUCUCCCCAUCUCAGUCCGCCUGGAAGCCAUGGUUGUUUUUUAAUGUAUCUUUCUAGAGGUAUCCAUUACAUAUAGAAGCAUGUAAUGCACAGGUGUGAGUAUCCUCAUAUUUGCUAUUUCUUUUUUUGGGGAGACCGAGUCUCGUGCUGUUGCCCAGGGUGGAGUGCAUUGGCACAAUCUUGGCCCACUGCAACCUCCACCUCCCGAGUUCAAGCGAUUCUCAUGCCUCAGCCUCCUGAGUAGCUGGGACACCAGGCGUGCAGCACCACGCAUGGCUCAUAUUUGUAUUUUAGUAGAGAUGGGGAUCACCACAUUGGCCAGGCUGGUCUCAAACUCCUGACCUCAGGUGAUUCGCCUCUUCAUGCCUAAACCACUGUGCCUGGCCCAUAUUUACUAUUUCUACAACUAGAAAGGUAUUAUGCGUGUUCCUAUUCCGUGCUUUUUCCUCUUAGUGAUUAUAUCACGGAGAUUUUUUCCGUAUCACUACACGUGGUAUAGAAGGUAUUCCCUUCCACGUGGGUGUCUAUCAGUCUCAGUAUUCUAGCCCAUAGGUUGGCAAACUUCCUGUAACAGGUGAGACUGUAAACAUUUAAGGCUCCAGGGAGCCAUUCGGUCUCUGUUACAACUCUUCAACUGUGCCCUUAUAGCAAGAAAGAUGCUAUAGAUGAAGUGUGAAUGAAUGGGUGUGUUCCAAUAAAACUUUAUUUACAAAAACAGGCGGAGGGUAGGAUUUGGCCUGUGGGCUGUAAUUGGCUGACCUCUGUUCUAGUCUGAACAAUCUCUGGUUGUUUAACCACAGUCAUAUGCCCACACAGGGCCAAAGAGGCAAGGCAUGCCAGCACAGGGCACAGAAACCAUGAUGGGCCUUGGCUGCAAAUGGAAAUCACCUCAUAAUUACCAACAGAUCUCAAAGUAAAUGCUGGAGCAGACUUUGUAUGGGGACUGUCCUGGGCCUCCUGAGCGGCAUCUGGAAUAGCAAGAUGCCAGGCCUUGGGACUGCCUCAAGCUAGCUUCAGCAGCUGUGCUUUCCUACCAGAGACCAUGUGGGGGUGAGGGCUCCGGAGCAGAAGGCGGCAUGGGCCUUACGGCUGGGGUCCUGGGGUCCUAGAGUCCCUUACUGGUUUUGUGAGAGGAUGAAAAAGACAUGAGCAUCUCUCUGUGUGUGUGUGUGUGUGUUAGGAUCACCCUGUCACCCAGGCUGGAGUGCAGUGGCACAAUCUUGGCUCACUGCAAUCUCCACCUCCCAGGUUCAGGAGACUGUCCUGCCUCAGCCUGACAAGUAGCUGGGACUACAGAUGCACACCACCACCCCCAGCUAAUUUUUUAAUUUUUGGUAGAGACGGGGUUGUGCCAUGUUAGGCUGGUCUCCAACUCCUGACCCCAAGUGAUCUGCCACACCUCAGCCUCCCAAAGUGCUGGGAUUACAGGUAUGAGCCACUGUGCCCAGCGGACACAAGCAACUUGAGGGGACCUGGCUCAUGUAUACACUCCAUAAAUAGCAAACAUUAUCAUGAUGAUAAUUGCUAUAUCAAAGGUCAAAACUCUACCCCAGGAUUUUCCAUCUGCUGUGUCCCUAAGAAAUAACACUGUGUAACAUAAAACUGAACACAACGAUGCCUACCCAGCUGCAAGAGCGGCCUUGCCUUCAAAGAUACUCCAUAAGCUUUUUAUGCUGACCCAAAAGGACCUAAAACACGGGAGAGCAGGGGCCUCGCCAGUCCUCUUGCUGGAGAGUGCCUGGCCAUAGCAGGUGCCAGAGAAUACCUGCUGCCCAAGUGAAUGCCAGUAUUGGCAGGAUCCACGCCAAGGUCCCUGGAUGCAGAGCUGAGGAACUGAGAGCUGGACAGAGCUGGGCCCGCCCCGGGGAAAACACAGCCCCGAUCUGACCCAGAGCCCUGUGGGCGGGGGAGAUGGGGGAUGAACUCAGCCCAGAAAGCACCUUGGAGCACGGGACCUGCCCCUUCUACACCAAAACGAUGCCCUGAGGUGCCCUGGGUUUUAAACUAGUUCCUGCUGAGUUGAGACCAAUUGAGGCCCCUGAGUAGCCUCUUCCUCUGUGGGGCUUGGGCGGAGUACCCCAGCCUGGAAAGUAUGUGGGGUCUUAUGGAGAAUUCACCCUCAUGGAAAGGCCACAGACAGAGGCAAUUCUCAGAAGGCUUCACCCUCAAGGCAUCUGUCCAUAUAAGACACAGCCAUGACCACUCAUCCUGAAAGCCCAGUGCUGUCCAAGAGACCCACAUGACAUGCUACAGGGGUGAGGCAUGGUCUGGGGGCCUGGGGGUGGUUUACAAACAAGGAGACCUUGAAAGGUGUGGGACUCCCUUCCAUGUGGGUGCAGAACCUGCACUGUCAUUCCCCAGGGAAGCACCAAGCAAUGAGAGCAGGGCUCCAUGAACUACAACCUCCAUCCUUCCCAGUCUGGUCCACACCUGCUGAGCCAGGAGGAGGGACAGAUGACCCAACACUGUGGCAACAUCCAGUGUGGCCUGUGUGAGUCCCUGUGGGAAUGAGUUUGUGUGUGGCCAGGAUUAAGAAUGAAAAAAAGGGAUUAAAAAAUUCCUCCUGGACCCAAGAAAUGGACCUCAGUGUCCCUUAGUGACAUCUUCUUACAUCACACCUGCCCAUGCCAGGGGUGGUACCUGCCUUCUCUAUAAGCAUGAGCAGUGCAAAAGUCCGGGAUGCCACCUUCACUCUAGACUACUGUGCCAUGCUGCAUCCCCUCAGCUCCCAAUAGAGCAGGCCGGAGGGUAAGGUGUCCCCAAACCCCUGGCAUGGGCCCCUGUAGAGCUCUGGAAAUGCUACUGAAGGAAGCAGCUCAUUUUGCUCAACUCCAGUUUGGAAUUUGGGGCUCAGUAAGCCUGUCCCUGUGGCACGCCCUUGUGCCCAUCUUGCUUGGUGGCAGGCAAGUGUGAACAGCUGUAGGUUCACAGCAGGAGGCUUAGAGAGGCAGUGAUGAGUGACAUGCUGUGCAGAUCCCAGACAUGAACUUGGGGGCCAGGUUUCAUUAUAGGAGAUGGUGCUCGGGGGUAGGAAUCCUACCUCUGUCCCAUGGGACAGCUUGGUGGUGCUGAGGCCGACUCUGUGGCAGGACAUUUAACCCUCACCAUCCCCUUGUGAGGUAGGGGGAGGCUGUUAACCUCAUCUCCAGACUCUGUUCUUCCAGUUCCUCACUCCUCUUUCACAUCCGCAAUCAAACCAGCAGCAGGUUUCGGUCGCUCUGCUUUCAGAAUACCCCUGGCAGGCUGCCCCAGGCACAUCCCCUAUCCCCGGGGUGACCAUACGAUCCCCUAAGUGCCUGUUCCAUCAGCCACAACAGAGUUCCGCUCUCUGCUGGCUCCACAUGGCAGCCAGAAUCCCCCUGGCUGCAGCUUCUAUGCGAGAGCUGCCCUGGCUUCCGUGCUGUUUCUCCAGGAUACCAAAUCCACGCAGCCUCAGGACCUUAGCACCUGCUGCGUCCUCUGCCUGGCUCACUGCCUCAGGUCCCCAAUUCAUGUCAAACCAUCGUAGUGGUCUUCCCGGAGCACAAACAGCACAUCCCCAGCCGGCCUCUUUUCCUCCGCAAUGACUGUGAUGUCCUUUCCUACUGUCCUCUCCCCGGUAAUCACCACCCAACAUACUCACGUCUCCUUGGUUCUUCAACGUCUGUGUCCCCCAUCAGAACAUCUGAGAGGGCAGACACUUUGUUUUAUCUGCUGUUCAACUAUCAGCAUGGUAAGUACUUAUUGGAGGAACAGAUGGAUGGAGGGCGGGGAACUGACCUUGUCAUGUCCGCUCUCAUCCUCCUAGGACUUUCAUCUCCACUCCCAGCCCAGCCCUGGAGAAAACCAAACCAGCCUGAUCUCACCUGUGACUGUUUCAUGUUAAUCCCUUUACUUUCAUGUAUUUUGAAAGCAAUCCUAAUCAUUUAUAUUUAAAACUUCCUUUAAUAAAUGUUCUUGCAUGGAA